rnacentral:rRNA from 1 species
CUUCCGUAGGGGGAACCUGCGGAAGGAUCAUUAUCAAUUUACAGCGGACUUCGGUCCUGUCUGCACCCUUGUCUUUUGCGUACUAUAUGUUUCCUCGGUGGGCUUGCCUGCCGAUAGGACACUUAUAAACUCUUUUGUAAUUGCAAUCAGCGUCAGAAAAACUAUAAUAGUUACAACUUUCAACAACGGAUCUCUUGGUUCUGGCAUCGAUGAAGAACGCAGCGAAAUGCGAAAAGUAGUGUGAAUUGCAGAAUUCAGUGAAUCAUCGAAUCUUUGAACGCACAUUGCGCCCCUUGGUAUUCCAUGGGGCAUGCCUGUUCGAGCGUCAUUUGUACCCUCAAGCUCUGCUUGGUGUUGGGUGUUUGUCCCGCUAUCACGCGUGGACUCGCCUUAAAGCAAUUGGCAGCCGGCAUAUUGGCCUGGAGCGCAGCACAAUUUGCACUUCUUGCCUUUUGAAUGUCGAGCAUCCAGAAGCAACUCUUUUUGCUUUGACCUCGGAUCAGUACGUUCCGCC